GAUGAACGCUGGCGGCGUGCCUAAUACAUGCGAGUCGAACGAACAGACGAGGAGCUUGCUCCUCUGACGUUAGCGGCGGACGGGUGAGUAACACGUGGAUAACCUACCUAUAAGACUGGGAUAACUUCGGGAAACCGGAGCUAAUCCCGGAGAAUAUAUUGAACCGCAUGGGUCAAUAGAGAAAGACGGUUUUGCGGGCAGUUAUAGAGGGUUCCGCGCCGCAUUAGCUAGUUGGGAAGGUAAAAGGCUACCAAGGCAACCAUGCGUAGGCGAGCUGAGAGGGUGGUCGGCGACACUGGAACGUGGCCACGGUCCAGACUCCUACGGGAGGCAGCAGUAGGGAAUGUUCGGCAAUGGGCGAAAGCUUGACGGAGUAAGGCGGAGUGAGUGAUGGAGGUGUUCGGAUCGUAAAACUCUGUUAUGAGGGAAGAACAAAUGUGUAAGUAAAUAUGCACGUAGUGACGGUACCUAAUAAGAAAGCCACGGCUAACUACGUG
rnacentral:rRNA from 1 species